CUGGGAAGCAGGCAUUUUCCUGACACUAGAGAUAAAGAAACCAGGGCUCAGGGAGUCUCAGUUGCACUUUGGAUAAGUGAUAGAGCUAGGAUUGGAACCUGGAUAUCUUUGACUCUGAAAUCUCUGCUCUACCCAUUGUGAUAUCCAGCCUUCCCAAGGCAAUGCUGGAAGCCAAGCUUGCACAUUCUAGGCAGCCAUUUGGAAGAUUCUUCUCUGCGCAUGACCAGCUGAAAAGGAAAAACCCCGAAACAUUGGCACUGUGAUUUCUCCAUGUGAACAGUUUAGUUCGCCGAGGUGGACAUGCCUCAUUCAUGCUUAUGGAGUGACCGACCAGCCUUUAGUGACACCCCCUGAAAUGUGAGUCAUCCAUGGGUCACUAGUCAUUGGAGAAGAGCCCCUUAUACAAAACUUGGAGCUCAGACCACAAACAACAACAACAAUCCAAAAAAUAAAAAAAUGAAAAAUUAGGAGCAGAGACUAAAUGGAAAGAUGGAAAUAUUAAAAUAAAAAUAUUAUUUUAAAAAUUAAUAUGUAUUAAAAUUUU
rnacentral:lncRNA from 10 species